rnacentral:rRNA from 1 species
UACGGAGGAUGCGAGCGUUAUCCGGAUUUAUUGGGUUUAAAGGGUGCGUAGGCGGACUUUUAAGUCAGCGGUCAAAUCGUGAGGCUCAACCUCAUCCUGCCGUUGAAACUGGGAGUCUUGAGUGAGCGAGAAGUAUGCGGAAUGCGUGGUGUAGCGGUGAAAUGCAUAGAUAUCACGCAGAACUCCGAUUGCGAAGGCAGCAUACCGGCGCUCAACUGACGCUGAGGCACGAAAGCGUGGGGAUCAAACAGG